ACGUAUGGUGCAAGCGUUAUCCGGAUUUACUGGGUGUAAAGGGAGCGUAGACGGAGUGGCAAGUCUGAUGUGAAAACCCGGGGCUCAACCCCGGGACUGCAUUGGAAACUGUCAAUCUAGAGUAUCGGAGAGGUAAGCGGAAUUCCUAGUGUAGCGGUGAAAUGCGUAGAUAUUAGGAGGAACACCAGUGGCGAAGGCGGCUUACUGGACGGUAACUGACGUUGAGGCUCGAAAGCGUGGGGAGCAAACAG
rnacentral:rRNA from 1 species